GUGUCAGCAGCCGCGGUAAGACAGAGGGCGCGAGCGUUGUUCGGAAUCAUUGGGCGUAAAGCGCGCGCAGGCGGGUUCGCAAGUCGGGAGUGAAAUGCCGGGGCUCAACCCCGGCGCGGCUCCCGAAACUGCGAGUCUAGGGACCGGUAGGGGCCGGUGGAAUUCCCGGUGUAGCGGUGGAAUGCGUAGAGAUCGGGAAGAACACCCGUGGCGAAGGCGGCCGGCUGGGCCGGAUCCGACGCUGAGGCGCGAAAGCGUGGGGAGCAAACAGGAUUAGAUACCCCUGUAGUCC
rnacentral:rRNA from 1 species